AACGAACGCUGGCGGCAGGCCUAACACAUGCAAGUCGAGCGCCCCGCCAGGGGACCGGCUGACGGGUGAGUAACGCGUGGGAACGUACCAUUUGGUUCGGAACAACUCCGGGAAACUGGAGCUACUACCGGAUAAGCCCUAACGGGGAAAGGUUUAUCGCCGAAGGAUCGGCCCGCGUCUGAUUAGCUAGUUGGUGGGGUAACGGCUCACCAAGGCGACGACCAGUAGCUGGUGUGAGAGGAUGAUCAGCCACACUGGGGCUGGGAUACAGCCCAGACUCCUACGGGAGGGGGGAGUGGGGGAUAGUGGACAAUGGCGGCAGGGAUGAAGCAGCCAGGCCGGGUGAGUGAUGAAAGCAGUAGAGUUGUAAAGCGCUUUUGUCCGGGAAGAUAAUGACGGUACCGGAAGAAUAAGCCCCGGCUAACUUCGUG
rnacentral:rRNA from 1 species